CAGAGAUCUAGGUCUCCGUUCACCAUGAAUCAGAGACGUACCGGCCAGCGUUGAUGACAGCGGCGUCAGAUCCUGAGCAGAUGUCCUCCAGGAUGAAGAAACUUUCAUCACAGGAGGUAUUGAGAGUUUUGGCCCAAAAAAAAAAAAAACCCUGCACAUUCCAUUGGGGCCUAAAGGUAAUGAAAUAAAGGAGUGAAAAAAAGAAAUCUACAAGAAAUGUGACCUACCCACAAACCUGACACCUCGGCGGACGAAAGAGUUAAAGUUGCAGCCGGCAGCGUUGAUGUCAGCUUCAGCUCCUCCUCUGCACUGUGCCCGGGACAAACAGCAGAACAGAAUCCCCUCUCCGAUCAUGAUCUGUGGACAUGCAACAUACCAGGUUGCCAGGUGAGGAGUUUAAAUCCCAGUGGGAUCAUGGAAUUGAAAUCAGCUGUGCUGCACGCUCCGGCCUAGUGGGGGAGGUGCUAAGGAUACGAUCUAAACAUUGGCAAGACCAUGUGCCACACCGUGACCUGAAUCAGAUCCCAGGAAGCCCGCAGAUUCCACCAUCCCAUCCCAUCUGACCAGAUCGGGCUCUCAGACGCUCAUAUUGUGUCAUGACACCUGGAGGAACCACAGGACGUCUCAGUGCCUGUGGUCACUUCCUGCCUGAUGCUAAAUCUGGCCUUUGUAGGUAAACAGAUUGUAACCCAAAAAUGGGCUAAAGAAAGGACGGAGUGGAUCAUUACCUGACAGCCUAAAUGUGUUUUUAGACACACUUCACUGUGCAUUUGUAUGCAGCUGAACUUGUUAGAAUAAGAUGCAAAUGUGGUCAGAGCUCUCUAUGCCUGCAACUCAAAGUCAAUUAUUUAAUUACCUAAAAUAGCAAGCAUAGUGGUCACAUCCUGCAGAGAAAAGUACAUUGGGUGUCUUUGUACUGCUAGCCAUUUUAGUCGUUCAGUCAAUGCUUUCUGUUUCUCUUUCCUCUACGAAUGAAAAAACACAUUCUUUGCAAGUUUUUGUCCUGAAAAAGUCUCCUUUGUACUUUUAGAAGAGAACAUCACAAACUGCUCAGAUUUGCAAAAGAAUGUCCGAGAUGUACUAACCUAUGAACAUUUUUUCAUGAAAUUCUCCCAAGGCCUGAUCAUCAAUCCAUACUAAUUUUAUAGAGCUAUACUCAAGUGUUUCAGCAAGUUUUAUGAAAGUAAAUUUAAGACUUAAAUGUAAAAUUAAAGACCUUUUUAACACAAAUUAAAGGGGUGGUUGAUCAGCUUUUUCGAAAGCUUGAUUGUGUUUAUGGGGU